AAAAACUUAGUUAACAUGAUAACAUUAGUUUGUCAAACUAAAAUAACCUUUUAGGUAGUUUUUA
rnacentral:tRNA from 1 species